GCCAAACAAACAUGGCGAAACUCUAUAUUCUCGUUCUGUUUAUUGUGAUAAUCAUUGGCAUCAAUGGGCAUGCGAUAUGUGUCUUGCCAACAGAUAAGGGGACUGGCUCCCUGUGUUUUGAUCUAAGAUACGUUUUGGAAAAAGAAGAUGCCUUAAAGAACACAAACAGUUUAUUGGACCCCAUCAUUACCAAUAAAUAACCAAUUAUAAUAUAUUGAACCACUAACUGCAUUAUAAUGUAUCUGAGUUUAUUUAUUUAUUAAGAAUUUGUAUUAUUUAUGUGUUGAAAUAUAUUUAUACUUUGUUAUAAACA